CUUCCGUAGGUGAACCUGCGGAAGGAUCAUUACUGUGAUAUACUUUCCACACUGCGUGCGCGUAACAAACCCCUAAACAUGAAUAACCCAGUCAAGAAUCCAUAAGAAUAAAACUUUCAACAACGGAUCUCUUGGUUCUCGCAUCGAUGAAGAGCGCAGCGAAAUGCGAUACCUAGUGUGAAUUGCAGCCAUCGUGAAUCAUCGAGUUCUUGAACGCACAUUGCGCCCCCUGGUAUUCCGGGGGGCAUGCCUGUUUGAGCGUCGUUUCUAUCUCACGCAAGUGGAGCUGGCCCGGCCUUGGCCCCGCCGAAAAGAAACGAGGGCGAAGCGAACUAUGUUGUGCGCCGACCCCAGCUAUCAAGCUCGACCUCAAAUCAGGUAGGAAUACCCGCUGAACUUAAGCAUAUCAAAAANCGGAGGAA
rnacentral:rRNA from 1 species